rnacentral:lncRNA from 10 species
CAGAGGCGUGCGGGUACCUGCUCUGAAAGGCAGGGGCCACCCUGUGCCUUGGGCCUCCCUUCUCCUUCUGGGGUGCCCAGCCGCCUCUGCUCCUGCCUGAUCAGAGCAAAGGGAGUCAGCUCUCUCCCCGCAGCCCCAGACUGUCUCAGCCCUGGCUGACCCACUCCGGCAGGGCCUUUCUGGGUUGCCAGGAGCGUUCACAGGGCAGCUGCUGACCUGGGGCAUCCUGCUGCUCCCCCAGGCUGGCCCUGCUGAUCUCGGGUGCCGGCAGUUAGCGCUGCUCAGCAGGGAGAGGCAACCACAGGCCCCUUCAGGCCAGAGCUCACACCCACCCCCACUCACACACAUGCGCAAACACAUGGGCACACGCAGAGGCACACACCUCCCCCAUCUCCCCUGCCUCCAGGCUCUGUCCUCUUUGGAAACAACCCAGAGGGCCCCCAACUCUGCCUUGGCCCCCCACAUCACUGUCUUCAUAAAGGCCCUUCCUCACCUGCCCACUGCUGGCCACACACACCUGCCCACCCCACCCUUUGCACACAUUCCGGGGCUCCUGCUGCCCUUCUGUGUGGGCUGCGUGGAGUGAGGAGCCGGCAGCAGAGAAGGAAUGAGGCAGUCCCAGGGGUUGGUUCGGGCACCCGCCCCCCACAUGUGACCACUCCCCAGCCUUGUGGCCUCAUCUGUCACCAUCUACUGCCCGGUGGGGCUGGAAGAGAAGAACCAGGCUGCCCUAUGCCCUCAGGGUGCCCAUUGCUUGCCCAGGCUGCAUGGCCAGACCUGGAGGCCAGCCUCUCAGCCACCUGCUCCCACCGGGUGUCCCUUGCUGUCCAGCCCAGGGCUCCACAGGCUGCAGGAGCUGCUGACCUCUGACCUCGCUGGGCUCCCAGGCUGGACUCCCACCCCAGGUUCCACAGGGGUCCUUAGGGGUGGGAGGACCUGCCCCAGGCUGCUGAGCGGGCAAGUGACAGAGUUGAGGCCGUCGUCCAUCAACCCAGCUGCCCGACCUCCAGCCUCAUAGCUGCUGCAGCCCGACAGCCUCUCCAGUCUGGCCUAGCUGCACAGGCGUCCCUUCAGGGCCGGUGGGGUCACGAGAGCCCAGGCCUCCACCGACCAUGGGCAGACAAGGGACAUGCGCUCCUCACCACCGCCACCCCAGCCAUGCACGGAAGGGGAAAUCGAGGUCCAGAGAGGGCCAGGGAUUAGCCUGAGCCACACAGCAAGGAAGGCCAGAGCCACGGCAGGAAGUGAGUUCCCUAAGCCUCCACGCCCUCUCUGGCCUCAGUUUCCUCACUGAGGCAGUGCUCCCAGGAAGCUCCAGCUCCGCCCUGCCCCGUCGGUGCGGUGAUCAGUCAUUCCGUCAACAAAAGUGCCCGAGACAGGCUUGGCAGGUACUAAGCCAGAUGGAGGCAUGACCCUGGGAGGGGGUGGAGUGCAAAGAGGUGCAGAGCACCCCAUAAAAUAAGGGGUUGGGCAUCACCAUGCCCCCUGCAGGCUUUGCCACCCAUCAGCACCAGCAAGUCGCCCCACCCAGAGCUCUGCAAAGAACACCGCCAGCUCUUUCCUUCCGGGUGCUCUUGCUGGGGGGUCAGGCUGGUCCCCUCUGACUGGCACUGCCCACGCUGGGACAUGGGAGGAGGGCCAUCUGGGCACUGCAGGAGCAGAUCCUGGGUGCACAUGGGGAGACAGGUGUGCUGGCAGGAACAGCAGGCGGGGCUGAGCUCAGGAGGCGCCUCACAGCGGGUGCCUCCAGCCUGGUCUGAGCACGGGAUGAAGAACCAGGCACCGCUCAUCGUGCAUCUCCACAAGGCACUGUGUGACUUCAUGCAAGCCGCUCAACCUCUCUGGCCCCACGUCCUUGUCCACAGGGGCAGAGUGGACUGAAUGGAGGCUGAGGUCCCUCUCAGCUUGGGUGGUGUGGCAGAGGGUGAGGAGGAGCCCAUGGGCCCUGGAUCACCAGCCUCCCUCCACCCAGAAUGCCCCGUCCACUCCACUGCCCACCACCCUCUGUGCAAUUGACAAACGUCCUGGUGUUAACGCCUAAGCAUAAAGAGUCGGCUUUGCUGUAAGUGUUGUCUGAACCUGGGCCCAACGUCACCGCCUCCAGGAAGCCUUCCUGACCUCCUCGUUCCAUGUUGAUUGAGUCUUCUGCGUGCCUUGGCCUCCCCUGUGUGUGCUACCAGAGGAGCCCCUGAGCACAAAUGCAGUCUUCCUGCAUGUCUCUGUGUGUGUGUGUGCAUGUGUGUGAGUGUACGAGUGUGUGUGUGACUGUGUGUGUAUGUGAGUGUGUGUGUGAGUGGGUGGGCCAGGGUACCCGUCUCUUGCACACCUACUGGGGUGUGCCCUGAGCUUGCCCUGGGCACACGGAACCUGGUUCUGGCUCCAUUGGAGAUGCUCUGACCCCCGAGGUGUGGAGGCCAGCAGUGGGCAGGUGAGGAAGGGCAUCUGUGAAGAGGGUGGUGUGGGGGGCCAAGGAGGAGCAGGGGGGCAUCUGGGUUCUUUCCAAAGAGGGCAGAGCCUGGAGGCAGGGGAGAUAGGGGAGGGAUAGGUCUGGGGCCUGCCUCACCUUGGCCAGGAUGCCAGCCUGGAGCUGGUGGGGAGGAUGGAAAAGGGAGGACAGUGGGGGCAGAGAGGGACAGGCAGAUGGGGAGUGGCUUUGCUGGGUUUAAGAGCUGUUUAGGGGGCCAGGGCUGAGGGGGAGCUGGGGGUCCCCAGUGUCAGGUUGCCAUCACGGACCUGGGGACGAGCAUGAGGGGGACUUGUAAGGAGCCACUGGAGUCCGGCCUGGGGGGGCUGGAGCCUGGCGCUCCCCCACACUGGGUCCCCAGCCAGGCCGUGUGCCCACCCCACACCUCCCUGGACGCCCACCUGGCCCAGAUUGUGCUGCAGGAACCCUGAGGGUGGCUGCCCCAAAAUCAGGACGAAGGAUUCACUGCCAGCUGGCCAGGCCAGACGCCCCCAGAGCUGGGGGUUCAGGAUGCCCGUGCCAGGGAGGGGGUGGCGUCCAGGACUGUACGCUGCCCCCACCCUGAUGGCUGCG